CCCCAUGGUCACAUGCCCGGCACCCAGGGUGCUCAGGAAGGACUGACUGAUAGCUCGUUUUUCCAGGCCCAGCUUGGGGUCAAGCAGCAACAGCUUGCUCUCCCACAGUCCCAGAAGGAUGGAGGAUGGGAGGGAAGAUUAUGUACACACGCACGUGGGGGUCCCAGGCCCUCUGCCUCUGUGAGUCCAAGGAGGACCAUGCAGUCAAGCUCUCAGCUGCCUCCUCAUCCCGCCAAGUGGGUUAAGGAAUGUCUUCGGAGAGCAGCUGUGAUGGCUGGAAUUCUGGCUGCUAUGUUGGACCAUGAGGACAAGCUGGUGGAGCAGUGAGUUUGAAGGAGCCUAGGUCUCUGAUGACUGCAUAAAACCUUCAUACGAGCUUUGGACUGCCUUGUCAGGACUUUUGAGAGUGACAGACCCUUUGAUUUUGUUUAGUGGGAUCUUUUAUUCAAAGCCAAGCCUGAACCUAGCUGAGACAGCCCAAAAGAUGGAAAGAUAGAUGAAGAUAGAACACUCCCGCAGCCAGAGAGAAUAUCUUACUUCUGGUGGCAAUGAGAAAGGGCCUGUUCAUACCAUGGACAACUUUGACCUUGGGAAAUCUUCCUUUUGAAUGCUGGGUACAGCUCUAUUCUGGGCCCAAGGGGACAUAUUAUAGGUGUUUCCAGGGAAGGAUGGGCCUGACAAGGCUAAAGUGUGCUGAAUGUGGACAGUGAUUCUACCCGACCAAGUCUGGAACAGGGGG